rnacentral:tRNA from 2 species
GCGGGAAUAGCUCAGUUGGCUAGAGCAGAAGCCUUCCAAGCUUCGGGUCGCGGGUUCGAGUCCCGUUUCCCGCU